GAUGGGUAGAUGGAUGGAUGGAUGUAUUGGCCAACUGAAUGAUACCUUGAUUUAAGUGAGUAAGAACUGACAAGAGAGACAAUUCCUGACAAGAAUGUCCUUUUCUUAUUGCCAGCUUGUUUUGAAUUUGCCUAUGUGUGAAGAGUAGAUCCAGCACAUUUCCCAGAAUGCAGUCAUAGCAGAGCUGGCCUUAAGGAGUGGUCUAGUAUGAGUCAUAGCCUUCUUCCCAUAUCUGGAGCCAUAUAUUUAUAGCUAAUGCAGUGGGGUUUUUUAUUUGUUAAACUGCAAAAAAUAAAUGGUUUUAUGAAGGCCAAACAAAAGACUAAUGGAAAGGGCUUUAAUAAUUAAUUUUAAAGAAACUUACAAAUGACAGCUCAGCUAUGAAGUUUUAGCAACACUUAUGUUAAGGUUUUGAGUGGAAGAUGUAGCCCUUUAGGUCGUUUGGGGAUCCACUGAGGAUGGUGUGAUGACAAUCUCACUUCUUUUGUCCCCUGUUUCUCUUUGAAAUAGUUCACCACAUUCUUGGACAGAGGGUGCUAUUCACUUGAGAGCUACACGAUGGUGAGAGUCAACUAAGAGGUUAACGUGUUCUUUAUUGCAUAACACACUUUCGAAAUCACUCUUAAACGAUGUUUAGUUUCUUUUUAGCCUAGUUAGCACAUUAUUGUUCCCAGAUACUGACUACAGACCAGUGUCAAAAGAGCUGCUGGGUCUGUACAUUUUCCUUUCUUUAGGUAAUUCCAUUGAUGGGUCUUAGUGAAUCCCCUCAAAAAAGGAAGGAACACAAAUUACAAAACUGUUGCAAUUCCUCUACACAAGAGGCAAAGGAACUUAUAUUUAUUGAAUAUGUACUAUAUCCAAAACACCAUUAUUUGCUUUUUCAUGAAGUGCCUUAGUAAAUCUUCAUAGUUACCAUUUUUUAGAGGAAGAAAUAGUCUUGGGAGGUGAAGCAGUCUUCCCACCCACCACACAACAUGUGGACAGCUAAGGAUCAUUCCAGGUACAUGUAACACUAAGCCUCCAUUCUUUCAAUAAUAUUACUGUUACUGUUAUUAAUGUUACAUGUUUGAAAAACCAUGUUGUGAGAAAUCUUGCUGACAAAGUUAACUAUAUCACAAGAUGCAAAGAGAAGCACUCUAAGAUGUUCAUGUCCUCUCUGGCUCCCUCAUUCAUUCUCCUUUGGAGCAAGUAAGGAAACCUAUUUCUCCUACUGGCCCCUCCAUUGUUGUAUUCAAUGCCCAGAUUUAUGUUAAUUAAAUAAGAUUAUUUGCAUUGGGAUGGGAAUUUCAGACUUCACAAAAAAAAAUUGCAACAUUGUGUUUCUUCUCUGUUUGACUAAAAUUAAAAUCCGUUCAGGUUAGUGACUUACCCAAAGUCAUAUAGCUAAUUAAUAGGAAAGGGCUUUCAACUAAAUGUAGAAUUUGCUGACCACACAUACUGUUCCCAGUACAUCCACAAGUGAGAAUGUGUGCUUUGUUUGCUAAGGAUGGGAAAGGAUUUCACUCUUUCAUGUGCUGCUGCUUUUUUGCUUGAGAAAAGCUCAUCUCUCUAAGGCAUAAAAUGUAUUAGAUGUUCACAGUCCUCUCCGUAUCUUUGGUAAUUAAUUGAAUGUGAAGAUGUCAAUCUGCAUCUUAAACUAUUCCACAAAUGAGCACUGGGGGUAUAAGAAAGUGGUUAGAGUAUUAUGAUUCAUUCUCAAUUAUACGAAGGUCGGCCUCAGCACAGUGUAGAAAGGAGGAUUAGAAAUUCAGCUCUGAUGGGAGUCGAGGCUGCCAGCCUUUGCUGAGAUUUCUUAAGUGAUGUAGUUCUAUCAGCAACCUAGGCUCAGCUGUUUUCUAAAAGAUUCCAUAUAUGAAUAUGAAUAUAUAUUAAGAAAUUCAAGCAAAAGGAAGAAGAGUGACUUUCAAAUGAUUUACCCAUACUCACCAGAUGAAAUGGCAAAGCAGGAAGAACAUCUGAUUUGGGUUGCACAAGCUGGGAUCUACAUUUUUGAGUUUCGUUUUUAACUAAAUCCGGCAUUGUAGAACCACAGAAACCCGUUCAGUGAUUUAAGACAGGAUAUGAGGGCAGAGGAACUUGAUUCUGAGUACGAACUUCUGAAACAUAAACUAUCAGCAACAAAGAGAAGGCUUGGUGAAGGACACUUGGCAUUGCCACUCGUGAAAUGAGUUUAAGCUUUCAGCUUUUAGUGUUGUAGCUUUUGCCAUUUCAAGUAGUGCUGAAGAUGGCAGGAACAGUUGAACCUUUAAACCUAGCAUCCAUCAUCGUUCUCCAAGAUUAUUGAUUCUUUCCCAUCUCUGCGUUGCCUUUAAUACAAGCAGGCAUACUUGGUCUGAAUGUAAAGAAUCAUUCCUUAGUCUAAUCAUUUUUUCACAUUUAUAGGCAUUGGAUAAAAUAGCCACAGAAUGUUUUUCUUUUGAGUACUGAAAUUCUUCAUCAUUUGAGAUCAGUCUUCUCAUUUAGAAGGAGAAGAUAAAAAUCUCAAUAACCGUUAAGCCAAAUAAAUAAAUAAAUAGAUAGAUAAAUAAAUAGAUAAAUAAAUAACUGACAUGCUCUAUGGGACUAAUGAAAGAUACAAAAUGAGGAAAAUAAGCCCAGAACUUGCUGGUGCCUCUUCUGUCUUGGUAGUAUUUGCAAAGCUAAGAGAGCUGUCACAUUUUUUUAAAGUUAAUUUUUUAAUUGUUUCAUUUGUUUACAUCCAAAUGUUGCCUCUGUUCCCAGUUCCCACCCCCAUCCCCUUUCCCCUUUGCCUCUGAGAGGAUGCUCCUCCCACCCACCUCACCUGCCCCCACCACCCUUCCUUGGGGCAUCAAGUCUCUACAGCAUUAAGCACAUCUUAUCUCACUGAGACCACUAUGCUCUUGGACUGGUAGUUUAGUCUUUGGGAGCUCUGAGGGGUUUGGGUUUAAUUGAUACUUUGGUCUUCCUAUGAAGUUGCAAUCCCCUUCAGUUCCUUCAGUCCUAAUCCUAACUCUCUGAUAAGGGUCUCAGACAUCUGUCUCAGUCAGUUGCUGGUAGAGCUUCUCAGGGGACAGCCAUGCUAGGCUCCUGUCUGCAAGCCCAACAUGGCAUCAGUAAUUGGUGUCAGGAUUUGGUGCCCACCCAUGGGAUGGGUCCCAAGUUGAAUUGGUCACUGAAUGGCCUUUCCUUCAAUCUCUGCUCCAUUUUUGUCCUUGCAUUUAAAACAGGAACAAUUCUGGGUCAAAACUUUUGAAAAUACGUUGGUGACCCCAUCCCUCCACUGUGGCCCUGUCUAUCUACUGGAGGUGGUCUCCUCUGGUUUGAUCUCCCCACUGUUGGGCAUUUCAGCUAAGGUCAUCCCUAUUAAGUCCUUAGAGCUGCUCACAUUCCAGGUCUCUGGGACUUUCUAGGGGUUUCCUCCACACGCAUACCCGACUUCCUGCAGCUUCAUGUUUCCAUUUACUCUCCUGGCCCCCUGAGUGUCUUCCUAUCUCCUCCCAUAUCUGAUCCUGCCUCCUCAUUCCCCCUCCUGUCUCCCACAAGAUUCCUUCUUCCCUCUGCCCUCCCCCGUGAUUAUUUUUCCCCCUUCUAAGUGGGAUUGAAGCAUCCUCACUUGGGCCUUCCUGCUUGUUAAACUGCUUACUGUCUGUGAGUAAUAUCAUGGCUAUUCUGUACUUUUUGAAGGGGAAGACUCCAUUCGUGUUUCCUUUAUUGCUUCUAUUUCCAUUUUUAGGUUUUGGAUUGUUUUAUUCAUUUCUCUCACCUGUUUGAUUCUGUUUUCCUGUAUUUCCUUAAGAGAUUCAUUUAGAUCCUCUUUAAAGGUCUCUACAAUCUUCGUGAGAUUUAAGGCCAUUGUCUUGCUCUUCGCUUGUGUUAGGAUAUCCAGGGCUUGCUGUAGUAGGAGAGCUAGGUUCUGAUGGUGCCAUAUUGCACUGGCUUCUGUUCCUGUACUUGCCUUUUGCCAUUUGUUUGUCUUUUGUGAUGACUGGCCUGGUAGUCCAGGGGAGUAUAAACCCUCUGGGACUAGUUGUCCUGUAUAGCGGCAGGACUCUCAAAGGCAGACCAAGCUGUGGACUGGGGUAUAGGGUGCAGAUCCUUGAUUGCAGGUGGAGGGAGGUAUAAAACUGAAGGAAAGGUGGAGCUCCAAUAGGAAGGAGUAGAGCUCAAGGCUGCUAGGCUUGCUGGGGUCCCAGUAGGCAGAGGUAUUAGGGCAGGAGUGUUUCACCUACCUGUCCCAGGUUGGACCAGAUCUCCUGGGAGGCAGGCAGAACUGUGGGGUGUGGAAUGGUGUGCUGAUCCUCUAUUGCUGGUGCCAGCUCAUGCUGGCAAGGAUGUGGAGUAAUGAGAACUCUUCUCUAUUGCUGGUGGGAGUGCAAACUUACACAACCAAAUGUACUUGGCGGUUUCUCAGAAAAUAGGGAAGAGUUCUACCUCACUCCUGGGCAUAUAUCCUAAAGAUGCUCCAUCACACCCACAAGAGCACUUGUUCAACUAUGUUCAUGGCAGCUUUAUUUGUAACAGCCAGGAACUAGGAAAAACCUAGAUGUCUGUCAACUGAUGAAUGGAUAAAGAAAAUGUGGUUCAUUUGCAUAAUGGAAUUCUACUCUACUAUUAAAAACAAGGACAUCAUGCACUUUGCAAGCAAAUUGAUGGAACUAGAAAACAUGAUCCCAAGUGAGGUAACCCAGACCCAAAAGGACAUGCAUGGUAUGUAUUCACUUAUAAGUGGAUAGUAGCCAUACAAUACAAGAUAAUCAUGCUUAAUCCAGACCCAAAGAAGCUGAGGAAGAAGGAUCCCCGAAGGAAGAUGCUUGAACUUCACUGAGAAGGGGGAAAAUGUUAACGUGAUUCUUAUUGACUAACAUGUCCUUUCACCCAGUAUUCCACAAAGAUGCCUUGGCUUGGGGAAAGGAUGUUUUUAUGAUUGUUUUGUUUCUGCUCCAUGACUCUUCCAGAGAAAGAAAGACCCAAAUGUUUAACAAAGAAACUCAGGAUCAGGAGUCAACAAGUUGAGGUAUUAUUGUCACUUAUGUUCUGAGCAGGCCAGUAAAGAGGACCUUUCUAUCUUUUAGUUUUUUCCUCUGUCAGUCCAAUUAAUAGUACCUGUCUGACUGACUGUUUGGUUAUAAGCAUUGACAAGGAAACUAAAAUGUAUGGUAAAAUUAUGGUCUUGUUUAGAUAUAUUUUCUAAAAAUUAUUAAAUUUAUUUAUUUUUACUUUCUUUUUGAAAUUUUUUCAUUGAAAAAAAUCAUACAGUAUUUUAUCAUCACACCCUUUCCUUCCCUCAACUCUUCCCAGACCCUCCCUACCCAUCACCCCCAACCCUUUCUUUCUCUCUCUCUUGAAAACAGGUCAGAAAAGUAACAUAAACUAAACAAGAAAUUCUCUCUCAUACAUCAUCACUAGAAAAUAGAGAAGAAAAACAAAAAAGCCCACAAAAUCAAAAAAAGGAUAACGUAUAAGCAAAAGACCAAUAAGACAAAAGUGCCCAAACAAAGCAGUUAUGAAACUAGACAUUUUAUACUAUUUUAAUGUGAUGCUGCUAUAGGAGGAACUCAGUUCCCAGACAUGUGAAAACUUCUCUGGGAGUUGUUGAAAUAAGAAAAGAGGAGGGGGCUGGAGAAAUGGUUUAGCAGUUAAAGCACUGACUACUCUUCCAGAGGUCCUGAGUUCAGUUCGCAGCAACUAUGUGGUGGCUCACAACUAUCUGUAAUGAGUACCGGAUGCCCUCUUCUGGUGUGUCUGAAGACAGUAACAGUGUACUUAUAUACAUAAAAUAAAUAAUUCUUUAAAAAGGUUUAAAAAAUGAAAAAAGAAAAUAGGAUAGUUCAACAUUACAAAAAUGUAAAUAGUAGGGUGGGUCUCUAGAGUUAAAUUCUAUGGUGUUUAGGAGUGUGGGACUAACUCAGGAUUCAGUCAAGAAAAGCCUCUGUUUUCUGAUCUGGGCUAUGAGGCAGGCAGGAGCAGUUGGAAUGUGAAUACUCUGGAAAAUAAUCCAGUUUUUGAUGAAACACAUUGACCCCUAGGUGCCUCUUUUGGGUAGGAACACAGCAGCUGAAAACAGCCUUCCUGAGUUCAAAUCCCAGCUGUAACGGAACCUCCAUGUUUUAGUUCUUUCAUCCUUACCCUGAUAGAGACCUACAUCCUAGGACCUUUGGAAGGUGAAAAGGUUUAAUUAAUAGAAUGAGUUAUUAUGAGUAGCAUCAAGCAUCCAUAUAACACCUGAACAGAACUGGGUUUAGUAUAUAAAGAGCUAAAUAGAUGGGAUUUCCUGGGAACAGGCCUGGAGCUGUGGUGAAUCAUGACUAGCCAUCAGGUGAUAACAGGAGGAGCUUGUUGGCCUUACAACCUUUUCAAUCUUCUCAUUUUACAAAUCACUUUUUAAAAAAUAUUGGCCCAGCAAACCCAAUACAUUCGUACCUGUCUUCUUUCAUUUAGUCUAUCCUUGUAUUUGAUCACUUUAGGGGCCUAGGCCACUGAGACUGCUAAGAAUAUAAAAUUAUGUUUGACUCAUAUUCUAUAGUAGAAAAUAUUUGAUUCUAAUAUAUUUGGACAAAGUCACAUUAGAAUUAAUUUUAUCAAAAUCACUGAUCUUUGUGUCUGAAAUACAAAGUAUCUUCUUUAUAAAUCAGUAGGUCUCAACCUCUGGAUUAUAACCCCUUUUGAGGUUGGGGGGGUCAAAUGACUGUUUCACAGGGGUCACCUAAGAUUAUGGGAAAGCACAAACAUUUACUUUACAAUUCAAAACAGUAGCAAAAUUACAAUUACGAAGUGGCAAUGAAAUAAUUUUAUGGUUGGAGAGCACCACAACAUGAGAAACUGUUUUAAAGGGUCACAGCCAUAGGAAGGUUGCUAAGCAAACACCAGCGCUGUGAAGCAAACAGACAUAGUCAGGGCCUCUAGUCUGCAAGGAGGUGCAUGUAUUAAGAGAUCUUUCUGAGUUAAACAAUACCUAAAAUACCGUGGCUGUCAUGUGCACUGGUUACUUUGUGUAACUUAGCAGUGCUUAUCUAAGAGUUGUGAUUAUUUCUUUCAUACAUACUGUUAGCAACAGCACCCAUCUUUCAGAACAAGGCUCACCCAUGAAGAAUUAACGAAGCUCAGUACAUGGUCAGAAGUUUCUCAAAACUGACAUUUCUCGAUUUCCCACUAGACAUGAGCGCAAGCAACCAGUGGAUUUUUUUUUUAAAUGACCUAAAUACAGUCAAUGGUGACAAUAAGGAAUGGAGAAUUCUAUAGUUUUAACAUUCUAACUCAUUUUCAUCAAAGAAAAGCAUAAAGUCUGAGGCAGCCCUGGGGCUGAAUCCAGUUCCUUCUAGUUUCAGAUUGUCUGAUUUUGGGCAGGUGGCUAAGCUGCUGGAUCUUUGUUUUUCCAUUCGCAAAGCAGAGUUAAUGCUGGUGUCUGGUGAACUGGUAAAUGUUUAACAAUGAGUUGUCAGUGAGCAAGAAAACACACAUUUAUGGGGGUUGCUGACUUCUACAGUAUAAUUCCCAUUGUGGCUUCUUUCGAGCUACCAAUGGGAUGUCCCUGAACACAGAGCUGUGAAGCAGUGAGUGACAGGAGGAUAACACUUCUACCCAUGAGAGGCACUGAGCCUUAGUCAGCCCGGGAGACAAGAUAAUAGUCUAGGAAGCAGUGCAUAGUGAUUACUGCAUCUGUUCUCCAGAUGCAUUGAUAUGGUUUGCAUCUAAAAUGGCCCCUUAAAAGCUCACGAAUUGAAGGCUUUAUUCUCACCGCAGUAGUGUUCAGAGGGUUGACUAGAUCAUGAGAGUUCUGACUUCAUCAGUGGAUUAACUCAUUGAUCAGGUCAUAGCCUGCUGAGCUAUCAAGAGGUGGUAGAAAUUCUGGGGAUGGGGCCUAGUGAAGGAAGUAGGUUAUUAGUGGCACUUCCUUGAAGGAUGCAUUUAUUCUCCAGGUGUACCCCUUCCCCAGGUUCCAUGCAUUCUCUAUUCUAUGCUGCUUUGCCCCAAUAUAGGCCAAGAAACAACAGAGCCAAGAGACCAUGGGCUGAAACCUCUGCUACAGUGAGCCACGUUAAGUAUUUCCUCUUUGCAAAUUGAUUAUCUAAUUUUGUCAUAGUGGUGUGAGGCUACUACAGUUAUUUAGGUUUAUAUACUUUGAGGUUUUUUUUUUUUAUUAAUGGUAGUAUAUAUAAUCCUGCUCAAGAAAUUCAUGCAAAUUCAUGUUGGCUUCCUGGAGCUUUGUGACUAGUUCCCACAUACUGCUGCCUAUCUCCAGGUCUUGGAUUUCCUAACUACUAUAUGAUACAAACACCACAGAAUACAAGACUAGAAUGUGAUCAAGUGUCCUUUCUGAUUCUCCAGGAUGGCCUUCCAGUCUGCCUUCCAAUUAGCCGUGCAUAUGGAGUCCCACCUUUCUCCUGCUAAAGUAUCAGUGAUGGACAGGUAGUGCCACUGUUGCUGAUUGACGCUUGCUAUCCCAACUCUACCAAACUGGACCGCUGGUGUAUCCAUGAAGUGUUUGCGUGUGGAUCAAGCUGCCAUUGCCUGCCACCCUGUGAACUGAAUUGCCAAUUUCCAAACAACAUAGAUGGAAGUUGCUCCAAAGAAACUUUCUAAACAGGUAUACUCCCCCACAAAACCCAUAUCCUUUGGUAUACUCCCCCACAAAACCCAUAUCCUCUCUUCCACUACCUCUGGUGGGCUACAAGAGAGGUUACAGCAUUCAAGAACCAUCAUUAAAAGUAGGUUUUGAAAAACGUAUAGAUCUCAGUAAUGCAUUCUUUCUCUCCCUCAACUCUGGCCUUGCUCUCAGCCUACUUGUGUUGACCAGAAUUGGGGCUCAGCUCCAGCCUUCCUGCCUGAUGCAAGGACCAUGUCCUGGAGUGUGGGCUAUGGAUUAGAGGGAAAUAGUUCUCUGAGGCUGGUGUUAGGAGGAAAGGCUAAGGGACCCACACUGGACAGCAAUAACCACAGGCAACUCUUCAGAGGCCUACCACACACGAUAGAAGUGAGAUUGCCGGUGCAGAGCAAGACUGAGAGACUUGGUCAGAACACAAACUCUGUGCACAAUGGAGAUGCAAUUUUGUCUGACUCUCAAGACUGCUACUUUCCUACACCAAAGAAUGAGUGCAUGUCCUUGGCCUGGAAACUGCUACCUUUUAACCUUGUGGCCUCUUCUCUCUCUGAACCUUCAGCAAACUUACUACUAAACAAGACCUAUCAGAGCAGAUUACAAUAACAUCCAAACUUUCAUCAGCACCCAGUGUUCCUGCUUUUCUGCAUCUGCUGCAACUGAAAAGGGGCUGGAUAUAAAUGGCAUUCUCUCCCCGCUGAGGGUCCCUUCCAAUUGUUUCUUCAACUGCCUCUCGUCCUGCUCUAAUGAGUACCCUUUGGCUGGAGCAUUUAGUUCAUUUAAUAGCUCAAGUUCACUUCCUCCUCCUCCUGUUUCUCCCAGUCCUCACUGUUCCCUGCUUCAUUAUGAAGCAAACACUUCUUUCCACUAUAUUGACCCAAAUAUUUUUGUCAGUUUACUUGUGUCACUGAAAACCUAGUAUUUAUUCAGGCCAACCACAAAGACUGUGUUGUGAAGCUGUGGCUGUAGCUAGAUCACCUUUCAUUGGCAUGGAUUUUUUUUAAAUGCCAGUGUCUUUCAAAUAUAAUACAGGAUGGCAUAUCAUUUCAUUACCCUGACAAAUAGUCUGUGAUACUUUUAAUUCUUACUGAUUUUGUUACUCUGUAACAUUUACUGUGUAACUUUGGCAUUGUCAUUCCGUUGUUGUAAGGCUGUGUGGCUAUAGCUUUGGACUUUGUUUAUUUGAAGAUUUUUUUCUGUCAUCUCUACCAUGCACAUUUUAUAUUAAUCUUUUUUUAAAAUUAUUUGUAUAUGUGUGUUGGGGAUAUACACACGUAAGUAUACCUACUCCUCCAGGAGCCUAUGGAGUCCAGAAGAGGUUAAUAGCACCAGGAGAGCUGGAGUUACAUGUGAGCUGUUCAACACAAGCACUGAUUUUCUGCCAGCCGAGUACACACCCUUAACUACUGAGCCAUCACUCCAGCCCUUUCCUUUCUGUUCAAUUGCUUUAUAAAUGAUAAAAGUGUGUAUUGGUCCAUCUAACAAACCUUAUUUAACAACUGUUUGAAUGUCCUCUAUGAAUUACUUUCAGGUAUGGUAAAAUAUGUUUAUAAUUAUAUUAGAUAACAUUCUAAAUAUAAUACAUAAUAUUCAUAUACUAUGAUUAUGAUAAUAUAGACAAUAUCUGUAUGCACGUACCUCUCCUGACUAUUAGGAUAAUUUUCAUUUUCAUUCCAUGAAUUCUCACACUUAAGAUCACUAUAAUGAACAUUUUGGUAGCUCCUUGUAGUACUAUAUCAGUAAUCUUGUUUCUACACCAUCUUCAUCAUUUGUGAGAUAAAAUUUGAAAAUACAAAGCCACCCUAUGAAUAAGCUUUUGACUGUCUCUCCUUCCUAAUUUCUCAUCACUUCUCAACUUCACACUUUUUCAAUAACCACUCUAAUUAAAUAUAGUCAUUGUUUUUUAAAUUUAGAAUACCUUUAGAAUGAACAUGAAAUUGCUACUAUCCUGAACCGGUCUGCCUCCAUUUUGGGUUUGAAAGUCAUCUUACAAUAAAGACAAACUAUAUUCUUUCCUAUUAAUGAUAAAAUCUCUGUGUCUCAAAGAUUGUGCUAUGCCCGACCUGUAACCUUAACUACAAAUGGUUCUGUACUGCCUGUUCUGGGGAAACAGCAGCCAUGUCUUUCUUUCGAAAAGUUGUUAUUAACUUGCAAUUGUGCCUUUGUUUCAGGAGGUUGUUACCACAAUCUUGCAACCAUAAUUUGGUUUCAAAAGGUUAUUAUGACCAACUGUUGCUAUGACUACCUUAAUAUAUUUUGCUUCUGUAACCCCACCUAUUUGCCCACCAAUCCCCUAUUUGGAAACCCUGUACCCCUGACCAAUGCUGACCUCUUGAAUCCUGCUUUAGCACAGAGCCAGCCUGUGUACACACAAAUAAAAUAGGCUUACUUUAA